rnacentral:rRNA from 1 species
AUGGCCAGGCCCCUCAACGGCGGCGGUGUUGGCAACGAGGUUCCCGCCGGCAAAGGAGUUGCUGCCCAUCUUGCCGCCGAUGAUGGCAUUGCUGUGCAGCUUGCCGCCGGCGAGGCCGGUCUCGUGCGCGGCCGUCCCAGUACGAUGGGAACAGGCAACCACGACAUGGCCGUCUCGAAGCUAGCCCGACCAGCUAGACGACACGGAGGUUGGACGUCGAUGGGGAAGACUGGAACCUACGACGACCACGGCCACAACGACGGCGUCUGCAACAGCGAUGGUGAUGAAGCAAGAAUACUUUAA